rnacentral:SRP_RNA from 1 species
GCUGAGCAUGGUACUACAUGCCUGUAGUCCCAGCUACCUGGGAGACUAAAGCAGGAAAAUUGCUUGAGUCCAGGAGUUUGAGGCCACAGUGAACUAUGAACAUGCCACUGACUCUAGCCUGGGCAACAGGCAAUAGAGUGAGACCCUAUCUCAAAAAAAAAAAAAAAAAGUUCACCAUCAAUAUGUUGACCUCCCAGGAGCAGGAGACCACUAGGUUGCCUAAGGAGAGGUGAAUCGGCCCAAGUCAGAAAAAGAACAGGCCAAAAAUCCCAUGCUGAUGUGUCGUGGGCUAACACUUGUGAAGCCACUGUGCUCCACCCUGGGCAAUAUAACAAGACCUCAUUUCU